rnacentral:rRNA from 1 species
AAACUAACAAGGAUUCCCCUAGUAACGGCGAGUGAAGUGGGAAAAGCUCAACUUUGUAAUCUGGCAGCUUCGCUGUCCGAGUUGUAGUCUCGAGAAAUGUUUUCCGCGCUGGCAUGUGUAUGAGUCUGUUGGAAUACAGCGUCAUAGAGGGUGAGAACCCCGUUCAUGACACAUCUCCCAGUGCUUUGUGAUACAUUUUCGAUGAGUCGAGUUGUUUGGGAAUGCAGCUCAAAAUGGGUGGUAAAUUCCAUCUAAAGCUAAAUAUUGGCGAGAGACCGAUAGCAAACAAGUACCGUGAGGGAAAGAUGAAAAGCACUUUGGAAAGAGAGUUAAAAGUACGUGAAAUUGUUGAAAGGGAAACGCUUGAAGUCAGACGUGCGCAGUGCGAUUCAGCUCUAUUUCGGUAGAGUGUAUUUCGUGCUAUUGCAGGCCAGCAUCGGUUUUGCGAGCCGGAUAAAGGUUAGUAGAAGGUAGCAUCUUCGGAUGUGUUAUAGCUUCUAACUGAAUACGGAUUGCGAGACCGAGGGACGCAGCACGGCGCAAGCCAGAAGAUUCGUCUUCUUCGUGCUUAGGAUGCUGGUGAAAUGGCUUUAAACGAC